rnacentral:rRNA from 1 species
GAUGAACGCUGGCGGCGUGCCUAAUACAUGCAAGUCGAGCGAACGGACGAGAAGCUUGCUUCUCUGAUGUUAGCGGCGGACGGGUGAGUAACACGUGGAUAACCUACCUAUAAGACUGGGAUAACUUCGGGAAACCGGAGCUAAUACCGGAUAAUAUUUUGAACCGCAUGGUUCAAAAGUGAAAGACGGUCUUGCUGUCACUUAUAGAUGGAUCCGCGCUGCAUUAGCUAGUUGGUAAGGUAACGGCUUACCAAGGCAACGAUGCAUAGCCGACCUGAGAGGGUGAUCGGCCACACUGGAACUGAGACACGGUCCAGACUCCUACGGGAGGCAGCAGUAGGGAAUCUUCCGCAAUGGGCGAAAGCCUGACGGAGCAACGCCGCGUGAGUGAUGAAGGUCUUCGGAUCGUAAAACUCUGUUAUUAGGGAAGAACAGAUGUGUAAGUAACCGUGCACAUCUUGACGGUACCUAAUCAGAAAGCCACGGCUAACUACGUG